UGGCGGCAGCCUAACAAUGCAAGUCGAACGAAGUAGCAAUACUUAGUGGCAGACGGGUGAGUAACAUGUAGGUAUCUACCCUUUGGCCUGGAAUAACACGAGGAAACUUGUGCUAAUACCGGAUAAGUCUUUACGGAGAAAGCUUUAUGCACCAUUGGAUGAGCCUGCACUUGAUUAGUUUGUUGGUAGGGUAAUGGCCUACCAAGACUGUGAUCAAUAGCUGAUUUGAGAGGAUGAUCAGCCACAUUGGGACUGAGACACGGCCCAAACUCCUACGGGAGGCAGCAGUGGGGAAUCUUGCACAAUGGAGGAAACUCUGAUGCAGCGAUGCCGCGUGAGUGAAGAAGGCCCUUGGGUUGUAAAGCUCUUUCGUCGGGGAAGAAAAUGACUGUACCCGAAUAAGAAGGUCCGGCUAACUUCGUGCCAGCAGCCGCGGUAAUACGAAGGGACCUAGCGUAGUUCGGAAUUACUGGGCUUAAAGAGUUCGUAGGUGGUUGAAAAAGUUGGUGGUGAAAUCCCAGAGCUUAACUCUGGAACUGCCAUCAAAACUUUUCAGCUAGAGUUUGAUAGAGGAAAGCAGAAUUUCUA
rnacentral:rRNA from 1 species